UCUCAAGAGAUCCACCCACCUCGGCCUCCCAAAGUGCUGGGAUUACCUGCAUGAGCCACUGCACCUGGCUUCAGCCCUUUGUUUUAUCCAAGAGAAGGUCAAGAGCAGAUAAAUUGGAUCUGUGCCCGCAGAGAGAGCCUGCUCCAGCCUCUUUGCUACAGCCUUGAGUCUUCUGCUGUGAUAGGAUGCUAGAGAGGAAAAUUUGGAAUUAGCUUUUAAAAGGAAGAGAAAUGACGGUGUAACCAUCUGCCAAAUACAUGGAAACAACAACAACAAAAACCUCAUCAUUCACCUGGCCUGGCAAAUAGCCUGCAGAUCUGGUUUCUUUUGAAAACAAACCCUAAGUCUGGAACUUUCCAUGCUGAGAGUCCACGUCAGUUUCAAGAAGGCCUGGUAAGAUGUAGCUGAGUAAAAACGAGACUCAAUAUGAAUGAUUACUGCUGUUCUUUCUCACUGGGAAGCCUGGGGACGUCAAGGAUAAAAUGACCUUUUGUACAGUGGUGAUAUUUCUCCAUGUCUCAGCCUUUUUAUCAGCAUAACUAUGGCCAAACCCAGUGCUUUUGUGGAAAACAUUGGUAGCACCGUCAUCUCAGAAGUCUUUAUGUAACUUCCCAUAGUCAUGUCAGAGGAGAUGGGGAUACAAAUCAUCAAACGCUUCUCUUUGGAUUGUGCAAGUCAGCAAAUCAGCUCUGGCGAUUUCCAAAGAGCUAAGACUACCAUCCCUGGGUAUGGUCCCUGAGUCUUCUUUCCCCAUCCUCUACAGCCCCCACUCAAAGAAAGUGCCUCAAACAGAUGGAAUGACGCAGAGGUAGAAUUGCAAACUUCAGAAAUGCAUGCUUAAGAGGGCAGGUGAGCCGGGUGUGGAGGCUUACAUCUGUCUUCCCAGCACUUUGGGAGGCAGAGGAGAGUGGAUUGCUUAAGCCCAGAA
rnacentral:lncRNA from 1 species